CUUCUCUUUUUCAUUCCUUCUUGACAGUAGAGAUCUGUUGACUUGAUAUUAUUUCAUUUCGGUGUUUGAUUUUAUAAAUGGCUGUGAUGAGGAGCUUUCAGGAGAGGAUCUGAAUUUUGUUUUACAGCAGAUCUGAGGGUUCUCCUCUUAAAGAAAUCUCUAUUUUCAGGACUUUUUUCUUAGGAAGUGCACAUAUUUAAUUUGAAGAGAGUAUAUUUAAAACUCAUAAAUUAGUUCGUGAAUGAUAAAAAUUAUUUUGGACAUUGUAGAAGUGUUGAGGGACCUUAUAAUUUAAAAAUGUUAUAAAAUCAGUAAACUCAAUAAUACUGCAGAGUUAAACACCAAAUAUAUAUCAGGUAGAACAAUGUUUUCAAAAAACAACAACAACUUAGUAUUUCCUAAAUAAAAUUUUCACUGUUAUGACUAUGUGAAGAGCAGUGUCCUACUCACACUGGAACCAUGUUUUUAUCCCAGACAGUUUCAUUCAGGAAGGAAAAGGAAGAAAAAUGAACUUAUUUUUGAGUGGAGUUUUGACUUCUUUUUUAAAUAACCUUUUGACUUCCCAAAAUCCCUUUGGUGACAGCACUGCUGGUUUUGCAUAAGGAUACAGUGAAGCCAGAAGUCCCUUCAAAACAAGAAAAAACACGUACAUGGAGUAGACAGAGCUGUGAAAGUCAAUAUCACUGUACUAUACAGAUUUUCUUAUGCACAGGAAAAGACAUCAAUAAAGUCCCUAUUAGUAGUCAGUAGUCUUAUGGUCUGAUUUUGAAGCCAUAAGCAUGGUAAAUCUCUAAAGGGUUAUUACAUCUGAAGUAUAAAUAUGCUGAAUAUAUAUCCACAUUGCCCCCAAAUACCUUUGCAGCUCUCCAAGUGAGUGAUACCAUUUAGGCAAGCUAUCACAUUAUAUGAAAUACAUUUUGGUUCAAUUUGCUGAAAAUAGAUUAACAGUGUUCUUUUAUCCAUUGUGCUGGAUACACUAAAGACCAACUUCCUCAGGUAUUCAUUUAAUAGGUCUCCAUUGCAUAGACUUUUGUCUGAUGGAAGGAAUAUCGUUGCUUUAAGUGGGCUGGUUGAUUUCUUUAACAGCUGUUCAGUUUGCUGGUCUCUAACAUCUAGAGUUAAGUUUUCUAUUCCAUCUUCAAUAAGACUGGGUAGAAGAAGGUAAGAAAUAGGAAGAAAAAAGCCCCCAUCGCUUAAUUAGAACAGCUGGAUUUUGCAUUUAACUGUGAAUCAGCUUCAGGCCAGAGAUGACAGAGUUUACGGUUCAGGGCAAACUUCAGUAUUUGGAAAUUUUCUUCUACAUUUAUUUGGAAAGCAGUUUAAAAAAAAAGGAUAGUUAUGAAGCAGACACUUUCAGUAAUAACGACCACAUAAUUUGAAGUUGGCUCCUUAAAUUGCAUCUGAUUAUAGCAAUUAUUGGAUGAAAUCUUGCCCUUCUCAUUUUUUCUUUAAACAAAACUAGAAAUUGGGUGUGAUGGAGAAUCAGCUGGCUGAGGAAUAAGAGUGCUCUGUCUUGCAUUUGAAAGAGAUUGCUUGAAAACUGUAACCUGGGAGUCUCAGCAGAACCCCAGAAAGCCUCAAGCCUUCCAGAAGAAAUGUGUUUGGAGUCAGGCUGAAUUUCAUCCAUGGAAAGCUCUUUCUGUGACACAUUUGUGUCAUACAGUCAUAAUUUCCCUAAAAAAUUCCUAUAGAGUAUGGAAAAUUCCUUUUCCUCUUGUUCAACCUCUAAAAAUAACAUUUGGUAUCUUGAUAGAGAUGUGGGGAAGGUGAUGAGAGGCACACAAGAAACUUAUAAAAAUGUUGUUUUAGCUCCUCUGCAUCCAUUAGUUGGGGUGAAUAGCUUUUUUUCCUUCUUUUUUCCUUUUUCCUGGUUGUCAUUUUUUGUUUGUAUGUUCUUCAAAAUAGAAUCAGAGAAUCAUAGAAAUACUGCUAUAAAUUCUCAUUAUUCAAGUGUAUUAGUCUUUACAAUCUUUUUCCAGGCAGUGAGGCAGAAACGUAGCCUGAAUAAGGAUCUAAAUUUUGAGCUGUUUAUCUGAAGAAAACUGGGUGCCUGUCAUUGGCUGCUAAGCAUGUAAGUGUCAGGUCUGUUCUCUACCUUUGCCUCAUUGCUUCCUCUGUUUGAUUAACUCAGCAGCAGUUGGACAUUAGCUGGAUGAAGACAGGGCUUCAAAUCAACAUGCCUAUUGAGGAACAUAGGAUGAAAUAAAGACUUAAAUUCUGAGGCUAAAAGGAGCUGGGAUUUUCCUGCAGUGAAAGAUAGUUGCUGAGUUAAAAAAUAAUAAUGAAAAGCUAGUUUCUAUGGUACCUAUUCUGUAUUACACUUUAGGGACUGAGAUUCUUCUAGGUAGUCAUUAUUUGUGUCCCUGGGUAAAGAAAUCAGGGAACAUGUAGAUAGUCAUUGUUCGGACUGGAGCAAACCAGGCACAGCAAGUUGAUUAAACCACAUGAACCAGGCUCUGCUUCUCUCUCUGCCUUGGAAGAAAUGCAAAAUUCUCCCAAAGGAGGAGGAUUCUUAUUUAGGUUGCACUUUGUACAUAGUUUUUCAGUAUGAGCACUGAAGGCAGAUUUUCUUUCUGCUGAUGUGCUGUUAAAGAUUCUCCAAGGGAAGGACUCAGCCAUGCAUGACUGCUGUAAAAGCAAGGAAUUUUGAGACAUGAAACGGAAAAAGGUGGGUUGAAGAAAGGGUGGAACAGGACAGCAUGAAAUCAGCAGUCUGUUUGACCAGAGGCAAGAGCUACAAGCAAAUCUGAUGUGAGCAAGGUUUGUAUGAGGAAGAAAGGUACGUAUGAAAAAUGUGAGGAUAAUAAGGAAGAAAAAGUAAUUUUGUUUAAUGAAGAUAUGGGCUAGCUGGGACUCUGUUUUGUAGACUUCAUUUGUUUGCUGUGGCACUGACACAACCAUUUGUUUCAGUAAGGUUUAUUGCAGAAACUAUUGUGUUGUUUUUUUCUGUGAGUAGAGGUAAAAGACCUCAGGCUUCAUUAUGAGGUAAUGAACAUUCUGUCAACAUCUUCUAAUGAAUAAAAAUGCUAUAUCUAAAAAUCAAAAAGUUCAUACAAUACUUAGUCCAUUGUCUGAUAAAACUAGAUAAGGUAUAACUCAUAUGUGAAGGUUAAUGGAGAGCCCAACAAGUAGUGGAACAUAGAAAGAAAAGAAGACUGCUUUUCAGAGAAAGGAAAAUAAAUGAAUCAGUUAGCACCUUAUGGAUUGUCUUAGUUUCAGCAGACAGAAUUGUUUUCUUCAGAGUGUCCGAUAUGAUGCUUUGUUUUCUUUUUAGGAGUUGAUACACAUUGAUGUUCAUAUAACAAAGUUGAUAACACAUUGAUGUUCAUAGUUGCUGCUAAGCAGCAUUGUACAGAACCAAGACCAUUCCAGUUUCUCAGUGCAUGAGCUGAGUAUGGAUGAUCUCAGAACUGCUGACAUACACUGGCCAAAGGGAUAUUCCAUACCAUAUGACAUCAUGCAGGAAGAGUUUUGAAUGCAGUGAGAGCUCAGCUCUCCCUCUUCUGCUCAUUGGGGCCUAACUGGUCAUCUGUCUGUGGGUGGCGAGCAUUUGCUUGUGCAUUACUUUUUAUAAACAUUCAUAUAUAUAUAUAUAUUUGUCACAAUCAUUAUCCUUUUCAUUUUCUGUAUAUUAGUAAAUAGUUUUAUCUCAACCCAGGAGUUCUAUAUAUUUUUUUUUCCUUUUGAUUCUUGUCCCCACCCCACUGGGAAUAGGGGGAGUGAGCAAACAACCAUGUGGUGCUGAGCCACCUGCAGGGUUAAGUAGAAAAAUAGAGCAAUAUGAGCAUAAGAUUAAAAACAGAAGUAUACUUACAUGUCAUAUGCUGUGGCAAAUAAAGGAUUCCUUCUGUCUUUCUGCAAAUAGCUCCAAAACUAAACAAGAAACCAGAAACUCGUAGGUAAAUGCAACCCUAACAGGUCUUGAAAACUCAGCAGAAACUCUGUCAAAACCUCAAUCAUUCUCCUUAAUAUACUAAAUUAUUGAGAUUCUGAUAUAGUUUUCUCAGGAGACAGUGGAAUAUUGUCUUCAAACUUAAUGGGGAAAUACAGAGACGUUUAACUUAAAAUGACAGUUGAAGUUAUUUGUACGGUAGGCUUCCUUUCAGGAGUAAAAAAUACAAUAAUUUUAUAAAGAAAACAGUUAUUGCAGCUCAUAUCAUUUUAGGCGAAUUACAGUUUUACUAAUUGGCAGAUUCUUUUCAUUUGUGGGGAAUGCAUGCUACAUAGCAACUAUAUAGUAAAAUAUAGAAAAUAGUAUAUGAUAACUUGGGCUUUGCUCCCAUUUGAAAUCACAAGCAAUGUUCCCACUGAUUUGACUCUGAGAGGCAAACAGCAUUGACUGGAGGCUGAGUCAAAUAAUAGUCCUUACGAACCUCAUUUGAGUAAAUGACUAACAUAAAGAAGAAAUUAUUUCUGAGUAAGCAGCAAGCAUGAGAUCAAGCUAUCCUGACCCUUAUUUGAUCUUUCUGACAUUCAUUACAGUUGUCUUUUGCUUAAUGAUUUGGCUUGUGCUGUGAGACUGGUAUGUGUUUAGCCACAUUCUUCCUGGCUGUAGCAGAAAUGAGGACUCCUUUCUGACCUCCAGAAAUGGUGAGUGGCUGAGGACCAGGCAAGAGAAGCUGCUGCACUACACGUUUUUCAGAACAGUCAUUUUCCUCAUUGCCACUGAAUGUUACUAUUACACAGUACAGCUGAAAAAUGAAGGAGAUUACAGAUCUCCUAAAUAUGCCUUUUUUAUAUAAUGCUUCUUCUGGGCUCAUAGGUGGUCUUUGACCUAGACUGAAUGAUUGUUUAAUAAUGCAUGGAGUUUUACCUGACUAACUAGAGAAUUAUUGCCUUCUAUUUUCAAUUCUCUGAGAGAAAACAGUCUGUAUUAAGGUCGGUAAAAGAUAAGACUACAUAGAGAAAAGUUUGCAGAUUUGGUAUAUGAUGACACUUCAUAUUCUAAAGAGUGACCAAUAAAAUUUUCUCUGAGGUUUUUUGAAUCCAUUUUCUAAACUCCACUGAAAUGGGAGACCAAGCCCCGUGGAACAAGUCUUCAGUGCCAGAUUGGAUUGAAGACUGUGAAUAAAGAAUUUUUUAUUUGGACUAAGUAAUCCAAACAACAGAAAAUUAUUGCAAACUUUGUUUGAAUUAUUCCUCAUGGAUCUUAUUUGUAUGUUCAUGUUGCUUAUAUGGAAGAUUUGUUUCUCUUUCAUUAUUUUGUUAACAGAAGGGCAGAUUAACAAUUGUUGAUGUUAUUUGUAUUUUGUUCAACUUGCAGUCUUCCGCCAGUUGUACACAGGUGUAGUGGCUCAUGGUAAGACUGGAGCUAUAGUGGGAUCUGAGAAGUUUGCUCACAGCGAGUAGGAACAUCCAGAUUUAUGUUUUUCAUGGCUUGGGUGGAGCUGAGGGUACAUGAAGGUUAUAAGAGCAGCAGUGAGACACUGGUAAAGGAAGCUGUUGGCUGAGCAAUGAGAAUAAUGCUUUUUAAUUCACAAUCUAAUAAAGUAAAGUAAGCUGAGGUGUGCAUACUGUGCCGUCCAGUAGGCUGGCAGGGAAGCAGUGCCUCACACACAUCAUGAGAUAUUUAACAGCUGCUUGUGAGAGAGAAUAUUUCAUGGGGACUUUUGGAAGCAUUUUGUUUCAGGGCCAUGAUUCUCUCCUGUUUUGCAUCUAAAACACUUGCAUACAAGUGGAACCGCUGCUCCAGCCUGGUAAUAGAAGGAGAGAAAAAUCCUAAAAAUGGCUGCAAUGAUGAGCUACAUACUCUAGAUUGUACAGAGACAAGCCAUGACACAAGUACUCCUCUUUGCUGGCCAUGCUUAGCUCAUCAUAGAUGUGACACAGGUUGUUCCCACUGAGCAUGAUGUACACCAACCCACGCUCUUUGGAGAUAUCUCCCCAUUCAUUGCUGAGGAAAAGCUGUUGCUCUGGCUCAAAAUCACGUCUGGCAGCAGUUAUUUGACUAUAGAAUUUUCCUCUGUAUAAUAUGAGGUUUGAGACCAGUCAUUAUUUUGUACUAAAGUUGAUUUUGUGUGAUUCUGUGUGAUUUUUCUUUUUUCCAGUGGUAAAAUUAAAAGGAUGAAUGUUUUAAAAUUGGUGCUAUUUUAAUCUGAAACAAUAAUAAAAAGGAGCAGUAUUCCUUGUUGUAGUCCUUCUAAAAUGCAGUCUUUUUGUCUAAUUUCAGAUGAACGUAAAAGCUUGAACCUUUGGAAUUUUUUAGGAUCAGUGUGGUCCCUCUGCUUCAGCACCUGUGCCCCCUCUCAGAAGGAGCAGUGCUAACCUACCAGAGUCCACAUACUGUAAAGUAAAGGUCUUUUCAUAAUGUAAUUACUGAAGCUUUAAAUGUGUGAAGAAUGAAAGUGCUGGUUAUCCAAAUAUCCUGGAGAAAGACAGACAGGGUCAUACAAUUUUGAAAAGGAAACACAUGUACCAUGAUUAGAUUUAAUAAUAUGUUCAGCAAUAUUCCAUAAUAUUGUAUUUCUCCAGUAACAUUCCUUAUUAUGAAAGAUAAUAAAUUGAGAGCCAUGUAAAAUAUCACUGCCCAGUCAACUUAAGAAAAUAAGGAAUAAUUUGAAAAAGUCAUUGCCUACUCUAAGGUUCUUGACUUAUAUGAUUCUUGGCAUCACACAAGAAAGCCUCUAGUCCUGGAGUUUGAACUUGAAAAUGUGACACUGUUAUUUCAUUUGUGGUUUUUAUAUGGAAUAAUAGGGGUGUCAGAUAACCCAGAGAAACUUCCCUCUCCCCAAAUAAAGUGCUUUUCUUUGGGAAUAGGUAGGCACAGGCCAUCAUCUUGCAAACACUUACACUUGUGUUUAGUAUAACAACUGUGAGGAGUCCUAGUGAUUUCAGUGAGACCACACGCAGUAGAAAAAUUAGCAUGGAUUGAAAAAAAACACUUGCAAAUUCAGAACAAAGAAUCUAGACUAUCUGGACAGAUCCCAUAAAACUAGAUAGUUGACUUCAACUAGUGGGCUAAAUUUCAUAAAGUAUGAGGAAAGCUGACAUUCCAUUCUAUAAAAAAUUUCAAGCUGUCAAAAAACUUGGCAUUGUUCCAAAUGGGGUCAAACUCUCAAAGACUACAAUUUUCUAAGGCAAAAAAAAUCUGUUCAACGUUGGCAUUUCUUAUUAUUGCUUAAAAAACAUCAGCCAAUAAAAUUAAAAACUAUACAACUUUGUAUGAAAUAAGAUAUUGCAACACUGCAAAUUUUCCCAGUUACCACCAGAGAAUUGUAUUUGACUCUAAAUUUCCUACAGUAGUUACUCAGACUCGCUGUGUGUACUAUACCAAAUAACCAUAAACAACUGCUAGGAAAGAUGGGUAUAGAGGACUAAAGAAAGAUUGAAGUUCAAGUUUUUAGUGAGAAUGAACACACCAUGCAAUGGAACAUAAGCAACAGGUGCCCAAAGGUUAGAUUUUAGAUACAGGCAUAAAAGGCAAUAGUUAAUUAUCAUAAAACAUAGAACAGAAUUUGAAUUGUCUUGCUCAGGUUGGGACAUCCAUUGAAUCCAAUGUUCUUGGUUCUGAAGACCCUUGGACCCACCUAGCAUGGCUAUAGACUUUGAGGUCUGGCACUCAUUGGGAUAUCUGUGGACAACAUUCCACUUCACAGGGUAGGUAAGUUCAGAAGAACCUGUGUCUCACUUCCAAAAUAACUUGGGUACUUGGAGGCUCCAUUUCCAAAGGGGCCCUACCUGAGCACUUAUAAUGAAAGUACAGACUCAUGCAAGCAGCCUGUUUCUUUUAAAACCAAAAGCUAAGAACCAUUUUAGCUGUCUGCAUAUCACUAUCAAAAUCUCCUCUAGUUUCACUUCUGAUGUAGAAAACCAUUUAAAUCUUUGCAGUAGUUCUUUGGUCCAUGCAACACAUCACCAAGUAUUUCUUAUUUUCCUUGAUGGGUAGACACACCCAGGCUGUUUCUAGCUUUCUACAUGUUUUCUAGCAUCUUGCAUAUGCAGGAGAAUGGCCUGGUUAGAGAAAGCAGCCUUAGAGAGUGUGUUGCAUCCAACUUUGUUUCAGCUUCAGGUGCCCUAAUUCUCAGGAACACGUUCUGCUUGAAAAGUUAGGAGGUGUUUUUUUCCUUCAACAUUUUCCUUCACUUAAUUUCUUACUUUCCUUUCUUUACCCUAAAGUGAAGACUACUUAAUUAACAGAAAAUGAAAGAUCUGAGGAAUUGAGAAACAUUCUCCUCAGAUACUAAAAAGCAGGUGCAUAGAGAAGGUUGGGCUCAGAUUCAAUUAUGUAAAGAGGGCUAUGCAUGUGGAUCUUUGAAAUGAGUAUCCUAAUCGUAAUAAUCUAAGGAUAUUAUUGCUGCUAUCUUUCCCUUUCUUCCCUUUUUUUUUUUUUUUUUUUUUUUUUCUGUGACGGACAGCUUCCUAGUUUGGCAAAGUCCAUGGCUUGUGAAUUAAAACUAAACCCACAAAAUGUCCUCUGAAUCUGCCUUGUGGAAUAUUUCUCUUCUGCGUUGUUGCUAAUUUACUGGGGAUGUGCUUCUGUUCUUCACUAAUCUAAAAACUGUUCAAAGAAAUUGCACAAGUCAAGCGUCCAUUCUUGGUCUACGAAGGUCAAUAAGCCUGAACAUACAAUACUAGGUAUAACUUCCAGUUCUGUCAAAUCUAUAACAAAAAAUGAUUGCAGCAAGCAGUGGAAUGCAUCAUCAUAUUCCUGCUCCGGUCUUCUGUUACUCUUGUGCACACAGUAAUGGCCUCCUGUGGCCUCCAGGGCCACCAACAGCUGGGAGAGAGCAGUGGGAACUCUGACUCUCAGAAUACAAAUUCUCCAAAAGAACUUGUGAAUCUUGUCCCAGGAGCCCAAAGCUCUAUGAAAAUCAGUCGUGUUGGCUCCUAAAUCUCUCAGAGGCUUUUGAAAAUAUUCUUAAAUCACAAGAUGUGAUUUCUGUAAGGAUUUGACUGUUAACAUCUGCUGUACAGUAAAGGCUAAAGCAGAUGUGGGAAGUGGGAGGGUAAUGAAUAAGGCAGUUUUGAAAGGGUUUGAAAACAAGUGAAGAGGUCUGCAGUUUUGAAUGCCUAAUGUUUGUAUUCUAUUGCUGAGACACCUUCCCAAGUAAAUUUGUUUUAUCCAAUUCCAAUGGUAAUCAUCUCUUCAAAUAUGGUCUGCCCAGCAUUUGCUUUUCUCAAUACUUUUACUUUUUUUUUUAUGUCUGAGGAAAAAGAAACCAAAAAACAAAAAACUCGAAACUUUAAUAACUGGAAUCUCACAGUUGUGGAAAAGCAAUUCACAGUAGCUAUUUUCUCAUGUGGAACAAAAAUUCCUUAAAAAAACCAGAAAGGAUGGAUCUUUUCUUUUACAAUUGCUCCUUUAAUAAACUGUUUAAACCACAUUUUUUGUCCUCCUCAGGCUCGUUGCUUAUUUGAAGCAGGAUGACAGGGCUCUUCUACUGUUUGGAAAGGCAGUGAAGUUGGUGCUCCAGAACAGAGCCACCCAUUCUUCUUCUGAGAGCUAAUUGAUUUGCCUCAGCUACAGACAUGUACUGAGGGUCUCAAAAGUGAAGUCUUCGUUUUUCUUUUUGAACGACUUAUUUCCUGGGGCUGUCUGUAUUAGACAGAUGUCCAGGUGGUCUCAAAUUAUUUACAACUGCAGGAACCUCUGUGGUCACAGGAUUAUCUGCAUGGGGAAACACAUUUGAAAGUCAGUAUUUCCCUUCUCAGAAAACAGGACAACCUUUGUUAGUGCAUGUUCUCAUUUGGAAAACUUUAAUAGUAAGCUAAGAGAACCUACACAUAUAGAUCUCACUUUCCAAUCUCUUGUGAGUACUGAUUUCCUUUAAAAGAUCAUAAAAACGUAAAAAAAAUAGAAAUAAAAAAGAGAGAAAGUUCUUGGAUGUAUUCCAUACUUUUAUUAAUUUUAUGAUUAUGUGCAUCUGCCCAAUAAGGGGAAUUGAAUGCUAUAUCUUCUGAUCAGCCUACUUCUUAAAGAUCAGCUCAAGGGUCAGUUUGAGUGUUGGACUUCAUUUGUACAAGUGUGAGCUGUGUAUUUAUAAAUACUCUAUAAGGACUUUCCAGCAACACUUACCUCUUCUAAUCUGCUGCUGAGGAGAAGCACAACCUUUUAAAGAACACUUACUGCCGAAGAGCAUCCAUCCUCCAGCAAAGUCGCUCACAUCCAGGUCCCAGCCUUCCUGCUGUUCCUGUUUUUUUUUUUUUUUUCCUGACAUUGCCUUCAUUUUCACAACAAAAUUGGAGUUUUAGCCCAUAGCAGUCAAUAUAAUUGACUUUUUCAGUUUUAGCAGUCAUUUCUUUUCAGAGUGUCUUCAGGGUUAUUCUUAGGUCUACCUUUUAGGCUACUGGCAGCUGUUCAGCCUGGCAGACAGAUGAAUGCUUUAAGAGGAAAUCUGACAGUCUGAAUAUAUCUCCUGUAGCACUGGUGCCAAGAGAGUCACUAUUUUAAAUACCUAUAGAAAUGUGUAUAUACACAUUCAUAAAAUAUGGUAGCCAGGUUAUAGACUUGCUUUAGUUUUUAGUUUUGCAGUUUGUUUUUGUUGAAUCACAGAGUAAUAUAAAUUAGGAAUGGAAAAGUUAUAUUAGGUCAUUUAAUCUAUCUCACUGCCAAAGUGGGAUCGUUCCCUGCAGUAUACUUUCCAAAGUUUUAUCCAGUACUUUUCCAUUCGUGAGGCUGGGUUUACACUUCAGUUUUAAAGUCAGUUAGGCUUAAAUUUUGACAUGUUAAGGAUUUUUCUUUGGAACUGACUGAAUUCUGUUACCACCAUGUGGCGAUGAAAACAAUGAUUUUUGUUACUGCUUUUCAGUUGUAUGAGAAGCUAACUGAAGUUAACCUAUGGGUUAGUUAGGGAAGAAUUCUUCUCUCAUCUAACCAUGAGAAACAUCGUAUAUUUAUCCUUCAGUGGGUAGAGUUGGAGGUUAUAUUUUUGAAUUUCUAACAGCACAUAUAUUGUUUGUUUGCUAUUUUUUUCUCUCUGGCACAGGUUUCUUCUCUUCCUUGCCUACGAGUAACACAUGAAGUGUAUAUUUCCUUGGGUCUCUCUUUAACUGAUGAAUGUUUCUUAGUCACUCACCUCCUAAACAGCACUUCUUUAACUGAUGAAUGUUUCUUAGUCACUCACCUCCUAAACAGCACUUCAGUAAUAUCAAUCAAUAAUAUCUGAAGAACAGGCAAAGGUUUUCUAUUUCAUCUUACAGCAAAUAUUAAGCUUUUUAAAAAUAUUUUAUUUUAUUUAUUUAUUUACAACAACAAGGGUGAAACAGUUUCAAGGGAGGUCCCAGGCUGGUAACAGUGAAGUUCAUUUUUAAGAAUUAGUAAAACAGAGAUCAUUAUUACAAGUCAGAUCCACAUAUGGCACCUCUAGAAACAAACUCACACUGUACUGGUGCUGUGCUGCCUGUGUCUUGUGCAACAAUUUCCAUGGCAUUUAUUCCUGCUGGUGCUUGGGGUUCUGGACCAGAAUGGAGCUGGGUUCACAGGAGACUGAGCACUGCAAUGCAUCACCAUAUACACUGCAAGCAGGACUGGUGUUUCCUGGAGCCAGCAAAUGUAACAACUCUGUCUUAAGACAGUCAGAUGAUCUGAUGUACAUGCAUGCUCUCUCCAGUUUCAUCACACAGCAUGUAGGAGCUCAUGCAUAGAUCUGCAGAAGAAGGAAAAGUCUGUGGAAUCAUAUAAAUUUAGAUCAAAAUAAGAUGUAAUUGUGUUGGUUAGCAGUUCUUUAUCCUUUCUGACAGAGAUUUUUGUAUUUAACUUUCCUGGACACUGAUUUCCAGCACAAGUAAUUAUUAAAAAUCUUAAUAUAUCAGCUUUAUAGCAACCAGGCUCCCUGCUAAUGAGAUGUUAACCCUCAUUGCUUUUAAAAUCUUGUGGUUUCUGAACAGAGAGGCUCUAUGGGAUUUAAUUAGAGUGAUUUAACCUUUUCCCACUGAAAUAGUGGCCCUACAUGCUUUUCAUUUUCAGCUUGCUCAUUGCACCUCCCUCUCAAACAAACCUGACUGGUGCAUUAGUUAAUGUUUGAAAAAUGCUGUGAGGAUGUAAGGGACUAGGAAGCAGAGCAUUGUCAUUAGUACACAGAACUGCUAGUCAGGAGACCCAGGUUCCCUCCCAGCUGUAUUUCUGAUUUCCUGUAGCUCUGUGCGAAGAUGUUGUCAUGCCAAUAAAGUCCGACUGAACUGUGCGUGACCUGGCCAUGUCAGCUACAGCCAGCCAAAGUCUUCACUACUGCUUGCUAAAGUUUUAGGCACCUCAGUUUGCAGAUCAGUUUGAAAAAGUCGUCCCAUUUUCCUAUUACACUGUUUCUGAUAAUUGUUUUUCUAAUGAUUUAUAUACCAGAAUUGGCACCAGCAAUGAGUUUGUAUUUCCCUCUAUUUCUUUAUCUGUGAAAUGAGAGGGAUGAAUGUUUUUGUGUCUUAACAGGAUUAAAAAACAGUUUGUCUUCAUUCUUUAGUGCAUUUGAAACAAAAAAAAGCUGGGAAAGUGCAAAGCUGCAAAAUGUUGUGUUUCUCCCACCUCCCUUGCAUCCUGUACAUUCAUGAAGAAGAAGGACACCGUGGCUCUGCUUGUUUAACACAUAUCCUGGCUCAGGUUCGAAAAAUGACUUGUAAAUAGGGUUAACCUUCACCCACUGAAAUUUCUUUGGCAGGUGAUAACAUAUGAGAUCAUUUUACACAGCUCUAAUCACCAUUAAAUCCUUCACCAAUACCAGUCUAGUGAGUCAAGACAGAGCCUAUUUGACCCAGUGCAAAGGAAACCACUAGUAAACCUACUGGCCAUCUCAGAUAACAUUCCCCUCCUCAGAUUGUUCUGUGCCAGGAUAUUUACAGAAAAGAUCAUUUUUAAUUUCUCUCUCUCUCCUUUUUUUUUUUUUUUUUUCUUUUUUCUUUUUUCUUGAGCCCAUAACAUAUAAACCCACCAGAAGAGAUUUACCAUUUCUCCUCAUAUUUUCUGGGGUAAAAGCUAGGAAGCCUGAAGGGUUUAUGUCAGCCCCAACAUGACUUGACUGAAUUGUCUUAAUCUGUGGACCAAUUUGCUCUACAGCCCCCUAAGGAAGGAAUUUGUUGAUUUUGGCAGUGUUUACCUUUGCUACAAACAAAUAGAUCGUUUUCCAGACCGGCUGGCUCUUAAAAAUCACUUGAGAGCUGAGGAAAAAAAAUCUGCCCCAGGCUGCAUUGGUAUUCUCUUUCCUGUGUUCUAGGGAAAGCUUUUGUGUUCUCCACAGCUGCUUGAGGAUAAUCCUCUGCGUUGAGAUUAUUCACAGAGUCAAUAGAAACGCCUGUAAAAUUCUCUGAAUUUAGUUUCCUCCAGUGGGGGGAGAGAAAGAAUUGGUCACAAAAAAAAAAAAAAAAAAAAAAAAAAAAAAAGAUAAAUGAAGAUUCUUGGCUAAUUUAACUGUGUUCUCAACUACAAGGUGAAGAGAAGAAAUAAAAGAAAUGGUUUGAACCUGCAUGCCUUUCACUUUUGGGAACUACGUGUUACACUCCUAUUUUUCUCAGUUUGUAUAGAUUUCACACCAAUAAGUUUUAGUGACUGAUAAGUAUUUGCUAUUAGAUAUUAUAUAUCAGAAAUGAAAUCUCUGUUUCCAACCCAAACACAGCAGCCUCAAGUUUUUAAUUAUUCACACAUAUAUCACAUAAAGUGAUGAGAGCCAUGUAAUACAUUGCAGAGACAUAUCAUUCACCUCUGCCUUCCUGAAUUGCACUUUCUCACUAGUUUGUCUCCACCAGAACCAAUUACUUAGCAGUCAGAUUUCUAGCUGCUUCUAACAGACACUAUCAUUAAAAAAUAUUCCUCACCUUCUAAGAAAAACUGUUCCAUCUUCUUCCACAGCCUUGUGGUUCAGGCAUUCUCCUAGCACGUGCAUGCUCUAAUCAUUUACUGUAAAGAAAUUGACCCUCACCUCUCACAUGGAGAUAGAAAUCACUAAACUUUAAAAUAGUUUUAAAAUAGUUGUUUUUUUUUUUAAUUUUCCCUGCUUUCACUAGAAGUUAGAAAAGAAAAAAGUAACCACACACUUUUCUUUCAAAGGAAAAAACAUUAGGUUUAGAAGAGGAUCAUAGGCUUUGCAUCUCAUGAGGACAGAAACUGGCUGUUUUGGGUCUCUGUUUGGGGAACUAUGGCACUUAAUCUGCAGGUUCCAUACAGGAAAGCUAACACUUCUGGGACUCUAACUCUGUCAUUGGAUGUAGUCCAAAGUCAUUACGUCAAAACUAUUAAGCCAUGUUUAUAGGUUACCAGCAUUUAUUAGCUGAAGCUUUAUUACCUCUUCAGUGUUAAUAUAGUUAGACUCAGUGAACCUAGUUUUACAUUUUUUUUUAAUGUACAUGCUGCAUUUUCCUAUGUUUUUUUCCUAGUAAUAUCUCUUAUCGAGGAACCUGAUGCUGAUGGGAGCAGAUGUUAGUAUGGAGGCAACAAUCCUGAUAAACCCACCAAAAUUAAGAUGGGAAACAUAUAAAUGUUGUGUAUAAAACCUCAAAGAGGUGAUAACUAAGAAGGAUUGUUAGGUCUUCCCACUUUUCCACCAUACUGUGAAGAGAAGGGUUUUGUGGGAAUGACGGAUAUCAUGAAUUUGCUUGCACCUGGAUGUUGACCAUACAUUUUCUAGUGAGUCUUGUCCACACAUUGCAUGCUGCAGAAAGCAAACUUGCACCUUAGACACUCCAGUUCCCAGCCCAGUGUACAGUGCAUAUUCUUUGCAGGUAAUAUGCUAGGCUGAAGAAUAGCUCUCCUUUGCCACAGGACAUCUUCCAGGUGAUGCAGAAGGUAGAUUAAGGUGUGUGUGGACAGUUGGACUGAGUAAUGUUUUAAACCACCCCAACACAGCACACCAGCUAUUGGCAGCUAGCACUGGAAGAGAGCUAGUACUGAUUUUCCUUUCUGCAGCUUUACUUUCCGAUGUAUUUAUAGACAGAAACCUGUCCUGGUUGCAGCUUGAGUGGAGUUGAUUUUUCCUUCAUAGUUUCUGGUAUGAUGCUUUAGAAAAAAAACAAUGUUGAUAACACACCUAUAUUUUAAUUGUUGAUGACCAGUGAUGUAUGGAGCAAAGGACAUUUCAGUUUCUCAACUUCCAUACUGGCCUGCCAGUGAGAGGGGCUGAGGGGGAGUGCAGUUGGGAAGGGACAGAGCCAGGACGGCUGAACUAAACUGUCCAAAGGGAUAUUCCAUACUGUACACCAUCACAUGAAUAAAACUCAAAGAAUAGUAGGGAGUGGGACAGAUGUGCAGCUAUUUCACCCCAUGUUACUAUGGCUGAUCACUUGUGUACGAGCGCAUAUGGAUCCUCAGGAUCUUUUCUGCAGUCUUGUUCAUGUGCAUCCUCUGUCUGGCCUAAUAUCCCUGGCCUAAUAUCCCUGUCUGGCCUAAUAUUUCUGCAAGUGCUCAGUAAUGAAUGCUUGGAUAGGAUUAUGGGAAUGAUGAUGUACAUAGUGUGAUCCUUCCUUUUUCUCGUUCCUCUGGAUGGUCUGUCAGGAUUUCUGGAGUACUCUUUUCUUUCUGCAUAUGCUUUCCCUUCCAGAAGCACACAAUUACAAAAACAUUUAUGUUUAAAAUCAAUAUGGUUCUGCUUUGUACAGUGCCAUGAACAUCACUAUCUUUGGGCAAUCUGAUGUAGGCAUCUGGCUGUGGUUCUGGCCAGUGCUGAGCAGCCACACCUCGCUAGGGAGAAAUAGCGGGAUAUAUGCCGAAUGAUGCUAUUUGUGCUUAGACACGUGGUCUGUGCGAUGCCAUUUAUACCAAAUAAUAACAUUACUGCCCUCAUCUUGUUAUUUCUGGGAUAAGUUAACUUUUUCCAAAUUAGAGCUAUUCUGAAACAGUUUCAGACAAAAUGAGUCCAGUCAGCAAAGAUUUAUUUAGGCUGUUUUUAUUCAUUUUGACUGAGGUAAGUCAUGGCAUGAUCAGAGAGUCAUUUCAGCCAGCAGUUCUGUAGGGCUAACAAGUAGAUGUGGGGUGAGGUUGGAAAUGGUAACCCCUCGGUCAGCACCCUGUGAACUAGAGAAUGGCAGACCUUCUGGACCACUCUUUCCCCAGACCUUCUACUACCAUCGGUCUGCUGUGUUUUCUCCUUUCUCUGACUUCUGUCAGCUGAGACCAUACUCUUCUAUGAAUUAAAAGGUUUCACUGCACUACUUUUUUUUUCAUAUUCUUCAAUUUUUUUUUUCUCUGUUUACUGCACUCCAGGAAUGCUGCUAUCCUGUCUGUUUUAACCUGUCCUCCAAAUGCUGCUUUCCUUUCACAUUUGCGGGAUUAAUGCUAUUUGGCAUAUGCUAAACAUCAGGCUGAUUCACCCCCACCGCUCACCACAAACAAACAGGUAUUACCACACACCAGCCAGCCCUAAUCAGCACCAGUUCCAUAUAACCACAAUUAAAUUGCCCAGCAAUCCCCAGGAGGAAUCACAGGUCAUUAGGAUUAUUUUGAAAUUGAGUGGUUUUAUAUAUUUCCAUAAUGAGGUGAAGCUAUUUGUCAGUGUGGCUGCAGACCUUUCCAGCUGCAGCCCAACAUGCUGCUCCAACUACAGCUCAGCUGCUUUCAGGCAUUGAAGUCUCCAUGCUUCUAAAGCUUCCCUGUUUCCAUAGCUGGGUAUAUUGUCCCUCUGGCUCUGCCAGCAUGUCUGUGCUCUAAGCUGGUUCUGUAAAUAGUGCUACUACUUUUAAACGUGGUUAGUCUGAACAUGGCCAUUUAGGCAGGUUAGGAAGUGGCUGAGCAGGGAGGUUUGGCAGAGUGCAGCUCCACAAGCGCACCGCUGAGCACCACCCACCUAUCAGUUAACCACCCUGGUGGCUACAAUGCCUGUGACUACACGUGGCGGGGGCUUGAGGCAUAGGUGUGCCCGUGCCUAACAAGGAGCUGUGAGAGGAUGGGAAAACAGCUACAACUGCGUGUGUCUGCUUUCUCAAAACAGCUCUAGACUGCUUACUGUAAGGGCUAGCCUUCAUCACAUGCGUUUGUAGUGACACUUUGGCAGCUAUCAGAGAGGGUUUCUUUUCAGACAGCUAUUAGCAGCUGACCAGAGAAUAUUUUUCAAGUCAGGUAUUAGAUAAUUCCGUCAAAGAGUAAUAGAGAGAAAAAAUGUACCACUUGAAUAUUCCCAAAAAGUUGGCAAAUGAAGUUUAAGCUAAUUUCUGAAUGUGUGCAGUUGAAGGCACAGACUAUUAGCACUUGUCCAUGCACAGCCUGUCAAAACUUGUUUUCACCUCUAUAUUGUUUUUGCCUUUCCUGUAGGAAAAACUGCCUUCAAGACCCAGCAUGUCUAAAAUUUUCCACUGUUCAGUAGACUAGAAUUUCAAAUAAUCACAUUCGUUUUAAUAAGUUUGGAAUUAGUUUUCUAGAGGUGACGAUGCAAAAUAGCCACGAGAUAUUUAUUAAAUAAGUAAAGCUUGAUUUGAAAUAGGAAAGGGUUAUAUCAGAGUUGUUUCCCAAAUUACUAAAUUAAAUGUCUACCAUGAAAUAAUUUUUUUUUCUAAUAUUUAGAUAUAAAGUUUUCCAUGAUACUUUUAAUUCUGUAUCAGAAAUCAACUUAAAUCAUUGAGCAAAUGCAAACACAAAUCACUAAUAAUAUCUGUUUUAUAAAAAAAUAGUUUUUCAUUUAAUGAAAUGAAAAAGUUAAAAUGUCUGCCAAUAGAAGACCUGUAUCAACCCAAGCAAAUGGAUUGAUCAGGGUCACAAAAACGUUGGAAGAAUGUCUGUGAACACAAGGCCUGUAUUUUUAGGUGUAUGUUUAAAAUCCAUCAUAGAUUUAAAUUGAGAAAGGGACUGGGACUGAUCUAAGGACUGAACACAGAUUUCUGUGAAACUUUCUUAAAGUGUUUCAACAGAGUUCAAAGAAAUGGAGAAAGGCUCUUCUAUUCUGAAAUCUUGUUACAUAGCCCCUAGUGAGAGAUGCAGGCAUCUUCAUCUCAGCUCUUUCAGAAAAGUCCAAGUGAUAGCGCUGGGUCUCUGCAAUACAUGGGCAGAACUAUAUGCCUAAAACAGAGCUAUGAACAGAAGCACUUAAUUAAGUAACAAAUAAACAGUAAUGAGUGAAGUGUUUUACAUACCAGUUUUUCCUCUCACCAGACUUUAGGACUUCUGUUGAGAGCAAUGCAGCAGUGUCCUCUCUGACAUGAUGGAUUCAUCGCUAGGAAGCUUCUCCUACAGGUCAACAUCUGUAAUUUUUCUUUUAUAAAACACAGCUGAGAUCCCGUUUCUUCUUUUUAAUAACAGACUAAAGGAGGGUGGGAGUCACUGUGCCAUUAAUCGUAAACUGCAAGAAGCUCAGGCCCUCUGCGUAUCUCAGCUCACUGAGAGUAAGUAAAUGGAAACACCCUUCUCCCAGGGAAUCAGGUCAGACGGUGGCAAUAAUGAUAUAGUGAUUGUAGUGAUUAAUGGUUGACUACAGUCACUGGGAAAGGGAGUAUUGAUUCUUCACGCAGAGACAAAUGAUCUUCAGAGGGGGAAGUGUGCUGUUCAGUCCCUGCAUUGGGGACUGCUUCUGUAUUUUAUUCCAUGUCACAUAAAUAAAGAGCCUUCAGAAAAGACCCGGAAUUUUGGAUCCCUGUUGCAAAGUGAGUGUUGUAACCACAGGCUCAGGAUCACCUUAUGUUUCUUAAUUAUCCUCCUUCUCUUGGAGACCUUUAGGACUUUUAUGGAAAACAGAAAAUCUUCAAUGGGAGGGCUUUGGGCAUGCUCUUCUUUGCUUGUAUAAAUUAAAGAAGGGAUAGCCUCUUGGGAAGUGGAUAUGCAGAAAUGAGUAUCCUCAGGUAAACUGAAGCUGAUUUUUGGUGACAACUGUUCUUACCCUCAAAGCAGUGAAUAGGGAAGGUGUGUGUAUGCUCUUAGUGUGGUCAUGUUUUAAAAAAAGAGAAGGACAUUUGCUCUAGCAUUGUUUUCAGAAUGUGCUCCAGUGACUUCAAGCCAUAAGCGGAAUUUUUAGUUUGUGGAUUUAAAGCUUUGUCAGGACUCUGACAUUAGCUCCUUUGGCUGUGAGGGCUUAGGCAGUUGUAUGCACAUAGAGAUUCAGAGCUCAAGGCAUCUGGGAAAUUUUUAAGCUGAAAUACUGCAUGUCUUCUGAUUUAAGUAUAGCAAAUCUCUAGCAGUUGUUUCAGUUCCACUGUUGGAUAUAGCAUCUUGGAUUUCAUGGAAGUCUUGCUCUAAUACCGUGUUUGGAUCUCAUCCAUAGAGUAUGUUGGAUCUCAAGCUGUAUAUGAUCAGCAGGAGACAGUACACGAGAAAGAUGAAAGAAGCAAAAAAAAGUGAGCAAAUUAGUCAUGGAGCAGGGGAAGGUGGCUGGAGAUAAUGGUAAACUACAUGGCCAUGUAGUUGUAUACCGAUGGACACGUGAUGCUUUUUCUGUAUUUUCAGUGAGUAAAAUAGCUACACAGAUGCAUAAAUAAGGCACUGAGCCUUUGUUCUUUUGCUCUUCUCAGUCAGACUUUCUAUCUUGAGCCUAAUAUUGUUAUAGUUGGUUUUGCAGCUGGUUUGUGUUUGGAUAUUUGGUUGUGAAGCUUUGUAAACCUGUCUGCAAAAGUUUGUAUGUACACUGCCUAUACGCACAGAAGACUGAGCGGAAGAUUAUCAGUAGAUAAAUCCAGAUAGCAAACAGAGCUUAAUCAAGACAAGCCACAGCUUAUGUGCUGCAGACAUUCAUUUUGGCUCCAACCUUUAUACAGAAUAUGAAGAGAUUAUCUGCUCAUACCAGCAUGUUUGGGCUGUACAAAUAUCCUAGAGAGAGUCCCAUCACUCAGCAGCAAUCAAAACAUUGAUACACUUUUAACACUGUCUCAGCUGAAACCAGGAGUAAUGUGUUUUGGUGAAAAUCACUGUGUUCACUUUUGAAGAAUUCAAUGACAUUGAGUCUUACAGUGACAGAGGAAAAUUUGGAAAUAAACAAUAAUAAAGAGAAAGUAAGAAUGAAGCCUAUUUUCGUGAUCUUUUUAAAGUUUUACUCAUGAGACCUGAAUGCCAAGAGCAGGCAAUAUUGAAGUUGAACAAGACUUCUAAGUGGCCAUUUUUGUCACCUUUUAGUCCCUGAGAGAGACCUAUUUUUAUGGUGAAUAUGUGUAUGUGAGGAAGCUUUCACAAUGCUGCUGGAGGAGCCUCACCUGAUGUCAAUUUAAAGAGACAGGUGAUUUCUUCAAGUUGCAAACUAAUGUGCUGUUAUUCCCCCAGGUAUAAAUUAAUACAAAAUAUGUGUCUAAUAAUAUAAGGUAUAGAUACAGAGAGCUCAGCCUAGCAGCAGAGCUGUAGUGUUGAGUUCUUCUGUAAUCAAAAUAUGGUUUCUGCAAGCUAAAAAGAAAAAAAAGAACAACCCCCAAACAAAACUGUAAACGAAAUGAAGGAAGUGGAGGCAGCUUCAAGCUUCAGCUUACUGCAGUACCCUCGGAUUUGAUCAGCUUAAUAUGUGACUCUGAGGAUAUGCUGAGUGAAAAGGAAAAAAAUAUGUUUGAAGAAGCUUCUAGGAAGUAAACGUUUCCCUGAGGAACAAUAUGAUAUCUCAAGGAAAACCUGCCUUAAGAUUAUUGGAGGGACUGAAUAAACACAGCAAGGCUGCAGUUAGACACAAAGCUGCAUCUUAGUCUGAAAAUCCUGGAGGUCUCCAGAUAAAUACACCACCUUAACAAUCCUGGUUUUGAAGAACUAUUGUAUGCUAUGGAAUAACAAGCCUGCUUUGGUUAUCCUGUGCUUUCAUGCAGUAUGGAAGAUAUCACAAAUCAUCUGUCCAGAUGCAGAAGUCUGUAUUUAUAAACUUCUGAUAAUGUCGGUUCACAUGAGCUCAGGUUCUGAAUGUCUUAAACUCUCUUCAUAUCUGGCAAAGUCAACGCUGUGAUUCAUCAUUCCACCCUGAUUUAGUAAUCUAAAACAGAUCAAUUAAGCUUCAGGCAGUGAGAAAUGUUUAGAAAGGACAGUAGAAUCUGAAAGACAGAUAAAGUAUAUCCCAUCCUGUAUUCUAGUGCAAUAAAGAUGUUUUGUUACACUAUGAAAAUCCAAUAUUAAUUGCAAAAGGAAAGGAGUGCUUAUAAUAUACAUUACCUUAACUGGAAUAUGUUUGCUUUAUGCUGAAACUUAUUACUAUUUUUAUUUCUAGCAAUUUUUUUUUUUUUUGGCACUUAAGUAAACUUAGAAUGAAGAAAUUUUAAAGCAAUGGUUCCGACAGCCAAAAUGAAAGCAGAAAUAAAAGGUUUUGGAGAGAAUAUAGAGAGGACUAGCAAGUAUGAUUAAGGGGGACAGAGAAACUUAUUUAUGAAGAAAGAUUAAAGGAGUAAAAUAUGUGUAUGUACAUUGGAGAUUAACUAAGUGGCUCAUAAGAAGCAUAACUAUCUUCAAGUAUUUGAUGCAUGUAAACACCAAGAAUGGAGAGGAAAUGAUUAUUUGGAUGCACUUAAAUGGGGAAAGAUUCUGACUUUAAAGUCUGAUACUGUUUUGCUUCAAUGUUGCCAGGAAAGAUCUAUAUGCUGAAAGAGGACGACACUGGAAAGGGAAAAAUUUAUACACUGGAAGAAGCAUGAAGCCAAAAGGAUUUCAGAAAUUAUUCAAAAAACACUAUAAAUUUUAAUACCAAAUAAGAGUUAUGUAAACUUUUGAACCAGCCUAUAAAACUCAAUAGAACAGUAUGACAGCACUAAACGGGUAAUGGAUUCAAUUUCUUGUUAAAGUUUUCUUUUCCCACAAGAAAAUAAAAUGCACCAUUUUGAAAGAUCCUGGAAGAUGAAGUGAUCAGCUGGUUGACCUAAGAUGACAAACUAGUUCCUUUCCACGUAUGAUUUUGAUGCUCUGCAAAUAUCCUAGUAAAUGCUGGCCCCAGAAAGUGGUUCACUCAGUCUGUUACACACUUUGACAGGUUAUAUAGCAGUUAAUAAUUAAGUGAAAGGAAGUUCUGUAUAAAAAAAUCUGCCAUCAUAUACGAAAUAUGUAUGUUCCAACUCUCUAUGUAGAGUCCACUGGUGUGGCUAUAAGUGGUAUCUUUGCUGACCAAUAGCACUGCUGGCAAACUAUCAGGUAAUUGUAAGUAUGUAUUUACCAGAGAAAAAAAGACCGGUUUACGUGCUUCUGUUUGUGAGACACAGUUGUGGCUGUACUGCUCUGCUGUGCUGAGCCCAGAUCCUCUAUCUUGCUGUAGGAUAAGCCUGGUUCUACCUAUAUCUAGGCAGAAAUUUGUUUAAAAGAGUCACAUGAAGAAUCCAUGUUCUUUAGUCAUUUAUAUAGUUUGUCAGAACAAGAUUUAAAUAUUGUCAGUCAUCUUGAAUUAUAACUAGUUUACAGCUUGUGCUCUGAACCCAUCCAUCCUUUUGAUCUUUUUACCUUAAGAAUGCAACUAUGUGGGAAAUAACUUUAAAGUGAAUGAUACACAUCUGACAGACUUUAAGGAAAAAUAAGUAAGAAUUCAGAAACAUUCCAUGUAAAGAAAAAAAAAUGUACCUUUUUAGAAAUGAACUGUUGUGCUCAUUCAUUGCAGAAUUUAAGUAAGAGUAAUGUUUUACCUCCUUCUUAGCAGCAAAGAAGCAACAUCAGAUGAGGGAGACGUAUCUGCACAUUUUUACAUCUCACAAAUAAUCAGCAGGUUAGAGACAAUAAAACAACUUACCUAAAAUAGAAUACUGGAAGGUUUAAGGUGUCUAUGUUGAAACUGUUACUGCGUUCAGUGCCUGCCCAACCAGAGUGUCAUUUAAACAUAACUGUCUUCCAUGUUUGCUCUGAAUCUUUUUGAGAUCACACAGUAUUCUGUUUCUGACCAUUCGCAGAAGGGCUCAGGGUGAAGCGGGCAUGUACCUCUGUCUGACUUAAACAGUCUGGGAAUCCAGAAGAUAAAUGGUAGUGUUAGCUUAUAGCACAGACCUGGAAAGUGCACUCAGACAAACGUAGUAUAUGCCAAUAAAACUGGAAACCUUUCAGAAGGAGACAACUUUUUACAUCUGCUUUGACCUCAGGUAUUUUAAACUCUAAUUUCUGAGGAGGCACACCUUACCCACUGGGUCCCAGGCUAGUCUACAUAGCUGUACAGAUGUGCACUACAACUGCAAAACUCAUUAAGAUUCAAGGAGAUAAAUGAGGAAGGAAACAAUUUUUAUGGAGCAAGCAGGAUUCUGGCCUUUGUCUUUGCCCCACACAGUUUGUAUGUCUAUUUUUCAGUAAAUAGUAGAACUAAGAAUAAUCCUAUGUUCCAUUAUUAACAUCUCAUCUUCAACAGUGGUUAUGUUUUUUUAAAAAAACGGAGCCUUUGAAACAAAAAUUGAAUUACCUUGAUGGUCUGUGGACACUGAGUGGAUGGAAAUAACCACAGUCUUCCACUGUGACAGAGUGCCUCAACUACAUAGGUUGGCAUUAUCUGACUUUCAAAAUUAUGAGUUAGAUUCUAGAUAACUCCAUAAUGUUUCUACUUUGUUAGUCCUCUCACAUAACAUCAUCUGUUCUCUGUAGGUAACAGCUCUCUAAUCUUGGCUUUGGAUUCUACUUUGUGGGCUAGAUGUCUGAAACCAUUGUGAGGGUCUGUGAGCACCUCUACACCUUUCUGGAACAUCCUGUGGGGAACAAGAGUUCUAAUUGAAGCACUUAAGACGUGCUCAGCACUUUUGCUUUAACUACUUUUGUCAUUUGUCUUUCUGGCAUCUCUAGAGUUCAUUGAAAUUUCUCUUGUAAUUCCUGAAAGUUUAAUUUGGACCUCAGUCUCCCCAAGGAAAUAUUGCUAAAGGUCAGAAGUAGGCUUAAAUCAUAAAGUUUCCAGGAGAGGGAAUCUAGGAAUUUCUCUCAGUUCCAUCUUUAACACUGUAGUAGAAGCCAGUGACAACAGGGCUUUGUAUUCCAGAUAUCAGACUGAGAAUGUGGUCUUGGCAUGUUGAAUAAUGUAAUUUGUGUACAUAUAAGCAAAGAAAAUAUUGAUAGUGAAAUAAUUAUGAAUAUAUAAAUGUGAGACAGUAGGAAGCCAUGUUUAAAGGCAUUUUUCAGUUUAUAACCACACUUUUAAGAAUUUCCUGUCUUUUCUUUUAGCCAGACACAUGGGAUUAUUUUAGCGUACUUUUAUUUGUGUGUUGUUUCCUUUACAUUUUUGUUUGAGCAGAAGAGGAUGGGAAUAAAAAUGCAGUCUUCAACAAAGUUUUACAAAGUUUAUGAUUCUAGGCUGUAGUAAUUCCCCUAUGUACACUUAAAACAAUAAUAAAAAUGCAAGCACCAUAUUUUGAAAAGUUAUUAUGACUUAUUAUGUAAACAGAUGAUGAUAAAACAUUCUGAGUUAUUAUUCAAACACAAUACAUCAUAAUUGUUUCUUUGGAGACACUAUAUAUUUCUGUCAUGGGCUUUACUUACAGGAUUCUUUGUAAAACCUUCAUAAAGGUAAUUACUUUGUAUUCCCAUCAUCACAUUUCAAAAAUAGUGAUCUCAGCCUCUGAACAUGUAAACUCUGAAACAAAAGAAGAGUCCUAUUGUCUUCUUGUGUAAACAAAGCUUGUUUACAAGGUUGGGCCUUCCAACACUAAGCCUUACUCUCAAUACACAUGAUUAUACAGGUUUUCUAGAUAUAAAUGUGAACUCACAGAUGGUGGUUUCAGGCCACUUAAUCUUAAUAAGCUAGUUUAUUUGAUGAAAAACUUAGGAGCUGACUUUGUAUUUUUAACAUAUUUAUGGGAAAUGGAGAAUGAGUAUCUGAAGUUGAUAACUUCCCUUUGCAAAUUCUGGUUGAUACACAGGGCUUAACAAAUAUAGGUAGUAUCUUAUUCCACACUGAAUGGAAUAAAAAAUCACUUGUCUUUUGUUAAUAUAAAGUUCAUAAUUAAAUUAUUCUUGAAAUACUGUCAGACAUUUCAGCAAAAGAACAAAAAACAAAAGUUCUAUUUAGUGUGGAUUGGUGUUGUGAUAUACUUAAUAUCUACUUCAACAUUGAAUUAAAAGAUUCAGAAAUCUAUCAUAAUAUGCUUCAAAAAAAGAUCAAAGACAAUGAAUAAAGUUGGCAGAAUAUGUUUGCUUUUACAUGGAAAUUACUGAAAUAAAAGAUUAAAAUAUGUAUUGAUAUUUACUAGCACUAUUUUCCACUGAAGUAAAUGGGUAAACUCUUGGGCUUGAUAUUUCUAAGCCCUUGCUGGUUUGAUACUCCAUGUCUUCUUACUUGCAUUGAUACAAAUAUAGGAAGUACCUAUAGAUUGCAUAAAUGUUGAUCAUAAGUGUUGUUUCAGGAUGAAAUGUAUUGUCUGUUUCUGUGAAGCUAAUGGCUUUUUGGUCACACAGCUUAAAGUGAUGUGAAGAUUGUCAUGUUUGUCAUGAAGAUUGUCAAGUUUGUCAUUACUUCUGAACUCCCAAAAUAAAUUGAAAUAAAUAAAGGUUUUUCUUCUAAAUCAGAGGAUGGUUCUUACUUAUUUAGUAUGAUGAUCUGUAAAAUGUCAUCAAAUGCACUGUAAAGAGAGGGAAUUGAUGGCAAAUCCUUACUAAGAUGUUGCAAAGUAAGUAGGAGGGAAGGAUCCUUGUGUUUAGAAGGACAGUUUUUUAUUUACACGCACACGUAUAUGUUUUGAGGUUACUAAAGAACACCCAGCUAUAUCUUCAACUUCAGUUAGCAGGAGUUUCUAUUACAUUUUAACACAGGAUGGGUGAGAAAAUGUUUCAUUUUAUACGCAUGUGUAUACACACAGACAUUCCAAAAGACACAAACCAUUUCAGAAAUGACAGUUUCCUCGCUGUCCAAUUAGGUGAAUUGAAUGUGAUUAUGUUGUAGUUCUCAGGGCUCUAAUUGCACAUAAAAACUUCCAAAUCACAACACGUGGUAUUUCCAUCCAAAACAAAGGGAGAAUUAUUAAAAUGUGGUGGGAUUUCAUGUAACACUGGCAGACAGCUUAGAUGGCAAUAAUUUAACACUUGCACCAUGAAAUUAAAAUUUACGUUCACUCUGUGCAAUUCUUCAGACCAGCAGCAGACAGUUGUAUUUUUUUUAAUGAGAGCAGGGAGAUUUAAUUACUUGAAUUUAACUAGAAAAACCUUUCCAUUGCUUGAUGACAGAGGCAAUAAUAUUGGCACAGAUUUGCAGAUGCUUUUUGAGCCUGCUUUCCAUAUUCUCCAUAGCUCUGCUUUGCAGCAUCCAUGUUUCUGAAGGCCAUGAACAACCACAUAGAUUCUUCCACAGAUUCGGAGCAAUGCAUGCAAAUUCCAGCUGCCCAUAAAUCAUUGUCUGAAAGGCAAAUGUUAUGGCUGCUAUAAGCAUUUCAAGUAAGUUCCAAAACUUUCAGCAUUGUGUCUUUCUGAACAGAAUUUGUACAAAUUAUACUACUAUGUCUUCUCAAAAAUCCUUCUCUUUUGCAACAAUUCCUUCUGUAAUGCAUUAUUGUCAAUGUAACGAAUGCUAAAGAAUUGAGCUGUAACUCACCAAACACAAACUACAAAAAUACAUUUGUUUUUUAUUGCCAUGAGGUCUGGUAGAAUAGAAUUACCAAGUUUUCUUUUAUACAGAAACAUAUAUUUUCCAGACAGUUUAGAGAAAAUUGAAGCUAGAAUGCUAUCCUAAGGCUACAUGUAAGUCUAAGUUGAGGUUCAUAUAAGUACUUAAGAUAAACAUUUUCUAUACUCAGUUAGACCACGAUAUAAAGAGAGGGAUGAAUGGCAGAUGAGCAUUGCUCUGUGCAAGUUGGUUCAACAGCAAAGGUAAGAACAGCAGAUGUGUACUGGAGAUCAGGAAGACUACUAUUGUGUGAGUACUGUAAUAAGGCUAAAAUCAGAAAAGAUUAUUAUUAUUUUUAAAAAGAUUUCUCAGUGAAUUUGGGCAUUUGUUUCCUUUAAGAAAGAGUAAACUAUAGACACGUCUGAUUUCAUUGUCUCAGCAGUACAGGGACACGGUACUACAGCCCAGGAAUACAUCAUCCCUUUAACAUUUGCAUGAUGCUUCUGAAAAAGUAAUGGAAAUUAUCUGCAUUGUUUUAUGUUUUAUAAUCAACCACUGAUCUCAGUUUAAGGACUAAGCAAACAACUCUCAGGGAUAGGAGAGAACGGAGGAAAAGGAGAUACCCUCCUACAACCCACCUUUUAAUAUUUAUGCUUGAAAUGGAAAAUACAGAUGUUGCAGAAGUACACAUCUGGGACAUUGUUUCCAUAUUUUUGACAGAGAAUAAUUUUCACUGCUUUUCAUCCAAGUGGCUUAAAAUCAAUGUUUUUGUUCAAAAUAAAAUUGCAUGAAUACUUUUGCUGAUCUUGCAAUCUGUACUGUUGUACUUAUUUCUUUUCUCCCCAGAAGCUUUGUAGGAUUCUUGUCUGGUUUAUAGGGUUUAGGCUGUUUUCUCCUUUCACCACUGUUCCAGUGCUCCAUUUGCAAAGUGUUUAGAUUACAGCAGACGCGAACUUCCUCUGUCUCAGAGCCAGCAAUGAAUCAGGCUGAGAGCUGGGACCACUGGCUGUCAGAGGACCCUGAAAAGCUGCAGCUUUAAAAUAACAAGUAUUUGACAGCUCAGUUUACAAAGCUGCAGAUUGUAGUUAUAUUGUGCUAUGGGGCUACAUAUGACAUAAUAACUUGGGACUUAAAGUUAUUUAGUCUCUUUCCUCUCACCGUAAUUUCCAGUAAAUAAAUCUCUCUGGGACAGGAGGUCUGUUGAGUUGUACAAUGCUUGCAUUUUCUUCACCACAGCUUGUCCUCUCUCUUUCCUAUUUUAUACGUUAAAAAACCUCAGUGUCUGGUAAUCGCAUUUCUAUAACACUUCCUGUUGAAAGAGACAGACUAAUAUAAAUACAUACAGUGUGUAUUUUUAAAUUUUUAUUAGUCAAGGUAUUCAUUGCAAGUCUUCCUAUCAAAAUCUCUUCAGAAAAUCCUUUAUGGACAGAGCUUAAUGCUGUGUAGUUGGAGUGGAACAUGGGCAAACUUUUAAAAUGCUUUAAAUGGUGCUUUAGAAAAAGAGCUGCGCUCACAAGAUUAUUGUGAGUUGUAUUUUACAAAAUUAGCCGACAGAGGUUCCAUCAAUAUAGAUUCACCUGAACUGAAAAAAACAGAACUGAAUAAAACGUGGCAACUGGAAUGCUUGUUUUUCUCCAAAAAUAAGAUAUUGUAGAAUGAAGGAAACAGUGUCUUUACAUUAACACAUUUGCUCUAAGAGAACUAGCUAUUUUUGCUGCAGUCCCUUUCCAGUAACAAAAUGGUAAGAAGUGCCAAUGUUUUCCUGAUUUAAUUUUCCUUUUACUAAUAUUUAGGCUUUCAAAGAAGCCCAAGGGAUAUGGUUGCUCAGUUUACACUAGACAUUCAAAUCUCCUUGCUUUUGAAAUCCCAUGUCUAAUUUCAACUUUUUUUAAUUAUUAUUUUUUUUUAAAGGUCUUAAUUCUUCAGAGUCUCUUUACACUAUUUUUGUUGUAACUCUAAAAAAGGUUUAUUAAGGUUUGGGGAUGUAUUUUACAGGUAAGAUUGCAGAAGACUUAAAAAUCUUUAUCCUUGCAGGUUUUUUUGUGUUUUUUUUUUCUUCUUUGGAAUAUAGGACACUAGAUACAAUGGACUACAACAGUCAAUAAAUGUUGUAUAAAUGUUGUAUUGUAUAGUACAUGCAUGGAUUCCUUGUAACAUCAGCUUUCUUCAGUUGAGUUCAUCAUCUUAGGCUCCAUCUGAAGUCUCUGCAGACUUGAUUAGGGUAUGGUUUCUCUGGCCUAUUUUAAGUGUUUACUUUAGAAUGAUAUGAAUCACAAUCUGAACUACUGAGUAGAUUUCCACUGUCUGUCAAGAGAACCCAGUGUUGACAUCUACAUCAAAUCAGAUUAUUUCUACUCUUAAAGCUGAACUAUUCUUAAAGUCUAGGAGAAUCUCUAGCCUUGAGUUGAGCAGUUCUGGUUCUCAUUGCCACCAACGUCAAAAUGAACACUGUCUCGAUGUAUUGAUGCUUUUCAGAAGAAUCACAGUGAAACAUAAC
rnacentral:lncRNA from 1 species